CUGGGCUUGACAUGACGGUGUAAGGCGUGGAAACACGCCCCCUCUUCGGAGCACCGCCACAGAUGUUGCAUGGCUGUCGUCAGCUCGUGUCGUGAGAUGUUGGGUUAAGUCCCGCAACGAGCGCAACCCUCGUGCGAUGUUGCAGUUAUCAUCGCAGACUGCCCUUAACGGGGAGGAAGGUGGGGAUGACGUCAAGUCCGCAUGGCUCUUACGUCCAGGGCGACACACACGCUACAAUGGCCGGGACAAUGCGCAGCCACCCCGCGAGGGGGAGCGAAUCGCCGAAACCCGGUCUCAGUUCGGAUCCCAGGCUGCAACCCGCCUGGGUGAAGUCGGAGUUGCUAGUAACCGCGUGUCAGCACAGCGCGGUGAAUAUGUUCCCGGGCCUUGUACACACCGCCCGUCACGUCAUGAAAGCGGGUCACACCUGAAGUCCGUGGGCCGACCGCAAGGGGGCAGCGGCCGAGGGUGGGGCCGGUGAUUGGGACG
rnacentral:rRNA from 1 species